CUGCAGCCCGAGUGGUGAUCGAUUUUACUGAGCCUAAAGCGUCCGUAGCCGGACUAGUAAACCCUUGGGUAAAUUGGGCAGCUUAACUGUCCAAAUUCCGAGGGGACUGCUAGUCUUGGGACCGGGAGAGGUCAGAGGUACUCAAGGGGUAGGGGCUAAAUCCUGUAAUCCUUUGGGGACCACCAGUGGCGAAGGCGUCUGACUAGAACGGAUCCGACGGUAAGGGACGAAACCCUGGGGCGCGAACCGGAUUAGAUACCCGAGUAGUCC
rnacentral:rRNA from 1 species